UCCUGCCUCUGCAGCCUUUCUGAAGGGCCUGAGUGACAAGCAGCGGGAGGAACAUUACUUCUGCAAGGACUUUGUCAGGCUGAAGAAGAUCCCGACAUGGAAGGAGAUGGCGAAAGGUAGGCCCUGCUCGGGGGAGGCCCUGGUGGGCAGGCUCCAGACCCGUGGCUUGGGAGAAUUGUGCAGACAAGAAGAGCUAGUCCAGUGGCAUGUAUCGAGUGCUUGCUGCAGGCAGGUGCUCCGCGUGUAUCACCUCAUUCAAUUAUUUUAUUUUAUUUUUUGAGAUGGAAUUUCACUCUUUUUGCGCAGGCUGGAGUGCAAUGGCUCGAUCUUGGCUCACUGCAACCUCCACCUCCCGGGUUCAAGCGAUUCUCCUGCCUCAGCCUCCUGAGUAGCUGGGAUUACAGACAUGCACCACCAUGCCUGGAUAAUUUUUGUAUUUUUAGUAGAGAUGGGGUUUCACCAUAUUGGCCAGGCUGGUCUCGAACUACUGACCUCAAGUGAUCUGCCCGCCACGGCCUCCCAAAGUGCUGGGAUUACAGGCGUCAGCAACUGCGCCUGGCCAUCUCAUUCAAUUAUUAACACAACAAGUGCAAUUUUUAUCCCCAUUGUAUGGUUGGAAACAGAGCCAUCACCAAGCUGGAGGUGGACGCCAUCGUCAACGCCGGUGAGUGGCUGGCCUGAACCAGAGACCUGGUGGCCGCCCUGUUGCCUUUGCUCUGCUCUGCUGUGCCAGGCCUGGGUGGACGCCACCUGGCUCCAGUGAGGCUCGGGUUGCUGGCAAGGACAGCCUGCUGGCGCCAUGGCAGCCCAACGUGUCGGCCACUCGGGCUCCUCUUCCCUUGAAACCCUGACCUGCUGUGUCGGGGGCGCCUUGCUCCACUGAGACCCAUUAGUGGCCGGGGAAGGGGGAGAGCUGGGCUGAAACUGGGCUGCCCUGCCAGGAAGGCAGAGGCCACAGCGGGGAGGUCUGACCUUGGGGGGCCAC
rnacentral:lncRNA from 1 species